GACCAUGAUUAUCGGUGGUUUUUAAAGGGGUCCUUAAGGGAAAAUGGUGAUUUAAUUAAAUCCAAGGAAAAUUAAAUGGUAGUUAUCGAUCCUUAAUGGGGCACUUUUGUUACCGAUUUUAAGAGUGGGUUUUGAACCACGUGUCAGCUCCACAGAAUUUUUAAUUUUUUUUUUCUUUCUUUCUUUUCUCUUGUCGCCGUUUCGUGUCUUCUCAUUUACUCCGUCACAUGCAAAUGAUCGAUACAGACGACGACUCUCUCGGUUGAGUCGACGUCUCCUCCGUAUUCUCCGUGAGAAGAAGGAUCGACACCCAGCACCAACGAGGCACCGAGAGGAAAGCUCGUCAGUACGACGACGAACGGUCCGAGUUUGGUGGGUUUGGCUGCGCCACCGGAAAGGUGCAAAUUAUUCAGCAGAUAAACCAGGAAGGGGAGGUGAACCGAGCUCGGUACAUACCUCAGUACCCUUUUGUGAUUGCUACCAAGACGGUUAACGCGGAGGUGUAUGUGUUUGAUUACAGCAAGCAUCUGACUAAGCCGCCGCUUGAUGAGCUUGUAACCCUGAUUUGAGGCUGAGAGGUCACAGCUCUGAGGGGUAUGGCUUUUCUUGUAGUAAGUUCAAGGCGGGGCAUUUGCUUAGUGGGUCUGAUGACGCUCAGAUCUGUUUGUGGGAUAUUAACGCUCAGUACCUCUUAUAUGGGAUCUGCGUUCUCCAUCUGCCAGUAAACCUAUACAGUCUUUGGUUGCUCACUCCAUGGAGGUGCGUUUGCAAGGAACUGAAUUUUAAGAGCAGAAAAGGUUCUCCAAUAACAGGGGCAGAGCCAUACAUACCUUUUAACAUUAACCCAGCAGGGAUGCAGCCUGUUCUUACAACCACUUACCUCUUGGCAUUUUCCAGCAUUCUUGCAAGCAUUGUGGGUUCACCGUUCUUGUUACACGUGAAGGAGAUAUUAAACCCUGAAAGCACAGUUGGGGCACCGCCAUGGGUUUACUACUCAGUCUAUGCGUUUUUGUGUUUCUCUUCAACAUCUUUGACAUUGUGAGUGUUACUCUUUUUUUUUUCUCAGUCUGAGUUUCAAUCUUCUAUGAAAAUUAAACAUGAUUAGUUAUGCAUGUUUGUGUCACAAGAUGGUUUUGGUUUUGUAUGUUUGUGACACGAGAUGGGAUUGUAUAUGCAAGUCACACGAAUUUUAUUCAA